AAUGAACGCUGGCGGCGUGGAUUAGGCAUGCAAGUCGAACGCGAAAGUUCCCUUCGGGGAGCGAGUAGAGUGGCGAAAGGGUGAGUAAUGCUUGGAUGACCUGCCCUCGAGACGGGGACAACAGUUCGAAAGGACUGCUAAUACCCGAUAGUCCGGUUUAGAUGCGUCUAGAUCGGUAAAUGGUGCUUCCGCUCGAGGAGGGGUUCAAGUCCUAUCAGCUUGUUGGUGAGGUAACGGCUCACCAAGGCGAUGACGGGUAGCCGGACUGAGAGGUUGGCCGGCCACAUGGGAACUGAGACACUGUCCUGACUCCUACGGGAGGCUGCAGUGGGGAAUUUUGGACAAUGGGCGCAAGCCUGAUCCAGCCAUGCCGCGUGAGUGAAGAAGGCCUCGGUUGUAAG
rnacentral:rRNA from 1 species